AGCGAACGCUGGCGGCAGGCCUAACACAUGCAAGUCGAGCGCCCCGCAAGGGGAGCGGCAGACGGGAGAGUAACACGUGGGAACGUACCCUUCAGUUCGGAACAACCCAGGGAAACUAGGGCUAAUACCGGAUACGUCCGAAAGGAGAAAGAUUUAUCGCUGAAGGAUCGGCCCGCGUCUGAUUAGCUAGUUGGUGGGGUAACGGCCCACCAAGGCGACGAUCAGUAGCUGGUCUGAGAGGAUGAUCAGCCUCACUGGGACUGAGACACGGCCCAGACUCCUACGGGAGGCAGCAGUGGGGAAUAUUGGACAAUGGGCGCAAGCCUGAUCUAGCCAUGCCGCGUGGAUGAUGAAGGCCCUAGGGUUGUAAAGUCCUUUCGGCGGGGAAGAUAAUGACGGUACCCGCAGAAGAAGCCCCGGCUAACUUCGUGCCAGCCGCCGCGGUAA
rnacentral:rRNA from 1 species